UCGGAAUUACUGGGCGUAAAGGGCUCGUAGGCGGCCAACUAAGUCAGACGUGAAAUCCCUCGGCUUAACCGGGGAACUGCGUCUGAUACUGGAUGGCUAGAGUUUGGGAGAGGGAUGCGGAAUUCCAGGUGUAGCGGUGAAAUGCGUAGAUAUCUGGAGGAACACCGGUGGCGAAGGCGGCAUCCUGGACCAACACUGACGCUGAGGAGCGAAAGCCAGGGGAGCAAACGGG
rnacentral:rRNA from 1 species